rnacentral:lncRNA from 1 species
AUUUAUAUCUGUUUUAUCUUAUAUAUCUUCACUACUUUGUUUUAAUUCUUAACUAAUUAUGUUUUCAUUUUAACGCUAUGUCCUUGCGAAAGAAAACGGUGCUUAAAACAGAAAACAUCGUAGUUGAGGGCGUGUGCUUUUCCCGCAGAAAGCCUCACAAACUUCGGAUAUAUGUCUCUGUAACGAGCAGAAAGCCUUGCAUUGAAGACUAUGUGCUCUUUCACACCAUUCUUUCGAAUCUAUUCUAUGUACAUAUUUGUUUUUGUUUUGGUACUACUGCUAGGGACUGGUUUAUGUUAGUGUAACGG